CGGGUUUUACCUGUAUAUGCUU
rnacentral:snRNA from 1 species